rnacentral:rRNA from 1 species
UACGUAGGGUCCGAGCGUUGUCCGGAUUUAUUGGGCGUAAAGAGUAUGUAGGUGGUUUGGAAAGUCUGAUUUUAAAUCUCCAGGCUUAACCUGGAUUUUGGAUCAGAAACUUCUAAUCUUGAGGAUAGCGGGGGCAAGCGGAAUUAGUGGAGUAGCAGUGAAAUGCGUUGAUCUCACUAAGAACACCAAUGGCGAAGGCAGCUUGCUAGGCUAUCUCUGACACUGAGAUACGAAAGCGUGGGGAGCGAACGGG